rfam:Candidatus Staskawiczbacteria bacterium RIFOXYA12_FTLL_37_10 rifixya3_full_scaffold_2612, whole genome shotgun sequence.
GCCCCCAUAGUUCAAUGGAUAGAAUACAAGCUUGCGGAGCUUGGGAUGGAAGUUCGAAUCUCCCUGGGGGCA